rnacentral:lncRNA from 1 species
ACUCAUUGAUGUUCAUUUUUCUCCCUGUAUUUUCCCAUUUGCUUUUCCACAUUCAAGUAGCUUUGAGGGCGGGGGCAGAUUGAGGAGUACCCUAAAACUCUUUCUUAAAGGCCUGAACCCUUAGGGAACUAAGCUGGUGUCUAGAAGCGAGAAAAGGGGAAGAGAAGAUUCAUGCAAAUGCUCAAGGCACCUUGGCCAGAAGCAGAGGGGAGACCAGACCCCACACUCCUCCAGAACCAGCAGGGUCUCCUGUCCCAGAAAGGAAUGACAGAGAGCAAGAGAUCUGUGGCCCCGGAGCAGUUCUCAGGGAGGCAGUGAGAUCCUUUAGGCUGACCACGUUGAAGUAACAAGAAAAC